rnacentral:rRNA from 1 species
CACAGCACUCUGCUAACACGUAAGUGGAUGUAUAGGGUGUGACGCCUGCCCGGUGCUCGAAGGUUAAUUGAUGAUGUUAGCUAUGCGAAGCAUUUGAUCGAAGCCCGAGUAAACGGCGGCCGUAACUAUAACGGUCCUAAGGUAGCGAAAUUCCUUGUCGGUUAAAUACCGACCUGCAUGAAUGGCGUAACGAGAUGGGAGCUGUCUCAAAGAGGGAUCCAGUGAAAUUGUAGUGGAGGUGAAAAUUCCUCCUACCCGCGGCAAGACGGAAAGACCCCGUGGACCUUUACUACAGCUUGACACUGCUACUUGGAUAAAGAUGCGCAGGAUAGGUGGGAGGCUUUGAUCCAUAGACCCUGGUUUAUGGUGAGCCAUUGUUGAGAUACCACUCUUCUUUAUUCGGGUAGCUAACUAGCCUAAGUUAUCCUUAGGUAGGACAAUGUCUGGUGGGUAGUUUGACUGGGGCGGUCGCCUCCCAAAAUGUAACGGAGGCUUACAAAGGUUGGCUCAGAACGGUUGGAAAUCGUUCGUAGAGUAUAAAGGCAUAAGCCAGCUUAACUGCGAGACAUACACGUCAAGCAGAGACGAAAGUCGGUCUUAGUGAUCCGGUGGUUCUGUGUGGAAGGGCCAUCGCU